GGAAUUUUCCGCAAUGGGCGAAAGCCUGACGGGGCAAUACCGCGUGAGGGAAGACUGCCUAUGGGUUGUAAACCUCUUUUAUCAAGGAAGAAGAUCUGGCGGUACUUGAUGAAUAAGCCACGGCUAAUUCCGUGCCAGCAGCCGCGGUAAUACGGGAGUGGCAAGCGUUAUCCGGAAUUAUUGGGCGUAAAGCGUCCGCAGGCGGCCCUUCAAGUCUGCUGUUAAAAAGUGGAGCUUAACUCCAUCAUGGCAGUGGAAACUGUUGGGCUUGAGUGUGGUAGGGGCAGAGGGAAUUCCCGGUGUAGCGGUGAAAUGCGUAGAUAUCGGGAAGAACACCAGUGGCGAAGGCGCUCUGCUGGGCCAUCACUGACGCUCAUGGACGAAAGCCAGGGGAGCGAAAGGGAUUAGAUACCCCAGUAGUC
rnacentral:rRNA from 1 species